UGUCUGUCUAUAUAAAGCUGUAUCAAUGUCGCUUAAUGAUCAACUCGAGUUUAUUUCUGAAGAAUCAUGGCUAGCAACAAGAUUGCAGUUUUGUUCGUGUUCUCAAUUGUCGCGACUCUGAUUCACGGUGCAUCGGUAAUGGAACUCCAUGAUCUGGUUAAACGAGACAUCAACUGUGACAGUCAAUGUAGUCAAGGGGGUUGUCGUUCAUGGGAAGGACGAUGCUUUGGAGAGUGCUACUGCUACGGUUCCGGCUUAGAGUACCGCUGCAGAUCGUGUGAUCUAUAAACGAAUGUAGCUCAUACAACAUGGAUAGAUGACAUUUUCUUUGAAAACAAAAAUAGCAUGAUAUUUGACAUUUCGAUUUGUUAUUGCUUUUCAAUUAUUAUCCCCCGCCAGAGGCGGAGGGAUAUUGUUUUGGCGUUGUCCGUCCGUCCGUCCGGCUGUCCGUCCGUCCGUCCGGCACUUUUGUGUCCGGAGCCAUAUCUUGGAACUGCUUUGGCGGAUUUCAUUGAAACAUCGUAUGAGUAUAUAUAUGCAUAAAAGGAUGAUGCACGCCAAAUGGCAUUGUACACCCUCUGUUAAAAACAGAGUUAUGACCCUUUCUAUAUUGAAAAAAUGCUUUUUACUAUAGGCACUUUUGUGUCCGGAGCCAUAUCUUGGAAAUGCUUUGGUGGAUUUCAUUGAAACUUGGUAUGAGUAUAUAUAUAUGCAUAAGAGGAUGAUGCACGCCAAAUGGCAUUGUACACCGGAAAUGCUUUGGCGGAUUUCAUCGAAACUUGUUAUAAGAAUAUAUAUAUGCAUAAGAGGAUGAUGCACGCCAAAUUGCAUUGUAUACCAUCUGUUAAAAACAGAGUUAUGGCCCUUUGUAUCUUGAAAAAAUGCUUUUUACUAUAGGCACUUUUGUGUCCGGAGCCAUAUCUUGGAAGUGCUUUGGCGGAUUUCAUUGAGACUUGGUAUGAGUAUAUAUCCCCCGCCUCCUCCGUCCGUCCAUCUGUCAGUAUGUUCAUCCGUCCGAUGUGCACCCAUCCUCAAACAAAGCAUAUGUUGCGGGGGAUAUCAAUUCUACGAAUUUGCUUGUUAAUAAUGAUAUGUAAUCAUACUAAAAGUAUUUUAAGUGCAACGUUCCAAAAAAAAAUACUUUGGACGGAAUGCACAUUUUAAAUAUCAAUGUUUGUUUGCAUUCUUUGAAAAAGAGAAAGAGCUGUGAAAUAAGUUACUAAAAAUAUUUCAGAAAAUUUAUCUUCCAUGUUAUUACUUGUUUGAAGUAAUUUGCAACACACGAUCAAUAAAAUAAAAUAUAAAACAUAUUGAAUUUAGUGAAUUUAUGUGAACGAUUGUUAUUGAUAUUUGAAACUGCAAUGAUUUAGACCGC